rnacentral:tRNA from 1 species
GGAGAGAUGGCUGAGUGGUUUAAGGCAGCGGUCUUGAAAACCGCCGUAUCCUCACGGGUACCGGGGGUUCGAAUCCCUCUCUCUCCG